CAGGCACAAGCGCAUGUACGAGGAGCAGCGCCGCAUGCUCUACAACCAUACCUACAACCUCACGACGGCCUCAAGGACGAAGAUCGAUGACAGGGUGUCUAUCGAGUACACAAGGAUGAAUCUGAAUAGCUCACGAGGGCAGUAGUUGCUUUUUCGGACUGUGUAUAGGAACAAGGAUGGUGCUUGAUCUUCUUUAAGCAAUCAGGAGCCAAUUGUGGAGCUUUACUUUCUUUAUUGUUAGGGGUUUUAUUUUAUUUUUCAACUAUCUUUGUUAUUUGUCAACUAGUCAUGAAAGCUAUGCCAAUAUCUGAGCAUUUAUGUAUUGUUGAUAUUUUCAACAUGGACAAAGGCAAACUAUUAACUGCACUUUUCUAUUU